GACGCUCCUCCCGGAGAGUAGUGAGACCCCUGGUGCGGUCCGAUUGGCCGCGGGAGCCGUGACUGGCAGACGCACUAACCAGUGGGCGCUGUGCGUGGGCCGCGGGGCGGGGCCAGGGCGGGUGCGCGGCGGCGGCGGGGUGGCUGGGCCGGCGGCGGCGGCGGUACGAGGCGCGCGCUCGGGGUCCCGGUCGCGAGGAGGAGGAGGAUGUGGCGCGCGGAGGGGAAAUGGCUGCCGAAAACAAGCCGGAAGAGCGUUUCCCAAAGUGUAUUCUGCGGAACUAGCACCUACUGUGUUCUCAACACCGUGCCACCUAUAGAAGAUGAUCAUGGGAACAGCAAUAGUAGUCAUGUAAAAAUCUUUUUACCGAAAAAGCUGCUUGAAUGUCUGCCGAAAUGUUCAAGUUUACCCAAAGAGAGGCACCGCUGGAACACUAAUGAGAGAUCAUGAUGCAGCCGCCCUUUUGGAUUUCUUUUUAAUAAUGUGUGACCCUUCACCUUUGAUCCCCUGACCUGCAUUACCUUGGGUUGUUGGGAGGAUAAAUGAAACACUGAGAACUCAGAAGAAAGGUGCUUUUGAAACUGAACCUCAUCCUAUGGCUGUGCCAAGAGGCAGUGGUAGUGAACCCCGUGGUGAAGGGCCAGGACCAUGGCUGUGGAGCCAGGCUGCUGAGGUUCGAAUCCCACCUUGGCCUCUUGCAAGUGUUCUGACUGCAGCACAUUACAUAGCCGCCCUAUUCCUGAGUUUACUGCCUCUUUAAUGGGGUGACAGUGAUAGCACGCACUCACAGGAUCAUGGUGAGUUCUAGCAGCCGGAGUGUGUGAGGUCUGUAGGGCAGUGCUAAGGGCAGAUGUUCAUGCUGUGGGCCCCAGCCCUCCCCCCAUCCCUCGUCAGUCCCAAGAAGACCCACAGACAUGGUGAGUAAGGACAGAGGCAAGCUCGGGGCAGAGCUACGCGACUUCCUCAUCUCUCAGAGUCCAGCUACCAGGAGUGGCCUCACCUACUACUGUUACUUUUUUUUAAGGUUCUUUUAUUUACCUAUUUUGGACUUUGGAGAUUAAAGAAGAGUAAAGAGGCAAUCACUGUUUGCCUGGUUAGCUGGACUUGCCCUUCACUCUCCCUUGGUAAGCCCUGCAGCCAGCAUAUUGGGAGUCAGGGUGUUGAGCAGCCCAGUGUUUUUCUCAACUGCAUAUGUCUUCAGUGUCCUCUUAAGUCAAGGGAAGUGACCUCCCUGCCACCAUGUGUAAGAAUCUGUAUCACAUGUUCUUCCCAGUACUGCCUACACAUUUUAAUUGUCACAUUUACCCAGGAGGUAGGCGGCCUGCAGGACUGUGCUGGUGCUCAGGUAGGUUUCCAUACUCCCAGGCUUAUGGCCCUGGUGCUCCAGAGCUGCCACUCAAGAGCAGCCGUCACUGAUGCUCGCUGCCUUGCACAGGGCAGCUUUGCUGUAUUGGCUGCAGGGCCUCAGCUGGGCUCAUCUCUCCCCUCAGUCAUCAGACAGUAACAGAACUGCCCUAAGCUUAGUUAGGCUUCACUGGAAACAGUGGCUCCUUUCAUUCUGGCUGUGUGCUGAGAGUCCCUUGCAUAGUUGGUUAAAACUUGGAUAAAUGGUCUACCCUUGUUCUCAUCCUUUCCUAGCUGGGAACUACUGAUCAGAAAUCCUGGACGUUUACUUUAUAAAGAAAGAGAAAAGCAGGUAAAUGAUGUGCACACAUGGAAAUGUGUCUGUCUGGAAUGUCUGGGCCAGUGCUGUUCCUUCCAGAGCAGAUUACACUGCAAACUAAAAUGGCUCUCUCUGCUGGUUUAGAUGUUCAGUGAACACUAGCCAGUGCCUGAAGCCUCUGCCGUUGCUCUUCGAAAUAGCCCUGAGUGAGAAGCCAUCACAGAAGCCAGCAUUGUGCUUACGUUCUGAGGUUCCUGAACUAGAGGUCUCUGGUUCCAUUUCGGUUGCUAUGAUAUAAAACCAAAAAACUUACAGAAAUCCUCUUGGGGGGAAAGUGUUUAUUCUAGCUUAAAACUUGCAGCUGUAGUCCAGCACUGUGGGGAAGUCCCAGCAGAGCUUGAGCCAGCUAGUCACAUCAGGUCCUCACUAGAGCUGCGAGCAGCACACCCUGAACCUAGUGCUCAGCCGGUACUUAAGAGUCAGGGAGUGAGCUACCCACUUGCAGGCUGGGUCUUUCAUAUUAAUUAAGGUAUCAAGACAGUCCCUGACCCACCAGUGUGCUCACGAGACAACCCGGUCUAGAGAGUUCCAGUCAAGGCCGUCCUCCUAGGUGCUAGGUUGUAUUAAACAACUAAGCACCACAAGGGCCAUUCUUGUUUCCUCGUUCUGCCACCUUUCUUUUCUCUCAUGUCUUCAACAUUUAGUUUUCCUUUCUCCUUUCUUCCUCCAUAGCUCUACACUGUCUCCCCCCACCCUCCAGUAAAUCCCUGAUGUUUACAGUGUAUCUGUCAUCACAGUGUAAUAUAUUUACAAAUCCUCCAAGGGGGUCCCAGCACAUAGUAGGUGUUCCAGUGGACUUUUAAAAGUAUGUUUUGGUAUCUUUUUUAAAGGAGUAGGUGCCACCCUUCAUUAGUCUUGAGUAUUGUUAGGCUGUGUUUAUGGUCAUCUAUCCUGAUUUCGUUCAUCUUGAGGACUUUGGUAAUUUGCCACAUGGCUUUAUUCAGUAGGCUGAGAAACAUCAUGCUUUAAGUCACCAACCAGUGUCACUUAGGCACUAGGAUAAGCUGGUGUUGUUUUGGUGGCUUCUUACCUUGGGCUUCUGUAUAGCUGCUGUGUAAGCUUUUAAACUGCAAGGGAGCUGAUUAUCCAUGGUGAACCCCUUGAUGAUGAUGAGGAGGAGUCUGCUGCAGAGAGGGAAAGGCCUUCACACCCACUGCCUCUUCUGCUGCCCCACCAGUCCUGUUAGGGUGGAGCAGCAAACAUGGCAGCACCGAAGCUUGCCAUUAACUGCCUGCCUCCAGCAGAGUUGGUGGAAUAGUCAGUGUAAUUAAUCUCCUGCUUUCCCUCCACAAGAGUGAGUGACAUAAGGUUAGGAUGAUUCUGAGGGAAGCAGAGGCCUCGGUCUGGAGUGUGGUGGCUCUGUGUGAGUCUCUAGAUCUGAGUAUUUGGCCUAGGUGCCACCUAGUGACCUUGGAGGCCCUCCUGAUGGCCUUUGCCCUUGUGGCUGUGGUAAGUGCUCUGUGUCAUUCCCCACGAAGUUCUGCCUAAGCUGAAGGGUGUUGAUAAAGAAGAUGGCAUCAGAUUUAGGGGGAUGUCAUGGAAACAGCAGCAUCUUGUAGUUCUCAUCCCCAGUUACUGACUCCACCAGAAGAUGAUGGCCAUAGUCCUGUGGGAGUGGCUGACUCCUUACUUCCAGUUCUUUUCUUUCUCCUGUGCAGAUUCUGUUUCUUAUUCCUUCAUCUUUCUAGAGAUGCUGCCAAGAGGACAGGUCGAGGAACAGGUGAAAUUCCUGGCCCAAGUCUUGUCUCUGGAUCUCGCCUGCUGGGCUCCGGCUCCCCUUAGGCCUCUGGCACACGUUUCUGCACAUAGUAGACACUCAGCGAAUACAAGCUCUUCAUUUCUCAUUAGUGCAGGUAAUUAAGAAUAGGAGCUGAUAGACUACACAUAUCUGUGCAGAGAUAUAUCUGUAAUUAAAGUUUUAAUUAAAGAAAUACCAGGCCAGGCAGAUGGUUCUUAUCCCCGCAUCCUGUAAACCUAAGAGCUGUGUCGUCUCGAUCCUGCAGACAAAGGCAAGAGCAGCAGCCUCCAUGGUGGUACCAGAGGGGAGAGGGAGUCUCACUAGCUGGCCGUAAUCUAAUUUUGGUAGCACUCUUAUGUGAUGACACUUCUGGGGGUAAUCAUUGCAGUCUGAUAUGGAAAGACAAUACAUCACAGGGACGUCCUGACCAGAGCUUUUAAGCCUCCAGUCAAGGGCAUUACCGCAGCCAGCUGGUGGAUCACAAGGCGUGUGGUCUGUGCCGGGUUACAAAAGCUGACAGAGGGUUAUUUAGGAUCAUCAGCUAAAUACAGUGCUAAAGUAGAGCAGCAGCGUCCUGGUGCUUUAGGUGCUGCCGCGGUACAGCAGUGCAGAGUUGAGAUGUGACUUAUGCUGCCUGCCACACAGCAGGCCUCGGCUAUGUCCCUGUGACCUUAAUGGUUAAUCAAGUACAGAUUUAACACACACAACAACCACAUCAGCUAACAGAAAAGACCUGUCUAGAUCUUACUACUAUUCAGGACCUCCCAGUGACCUCCAUCAUGACCAUCACAAGAAGCCAGAGCAGUACAGGGAAGUCCUGUGUAGGGUGCACGGCAUCUCACUGUGACCUCUUGGGCCUCUGCUGCUAGGUUUCAUGUACUCAGUCUGGCACAGGGUUGAAGGCAUCAUUGCAGGUGUGGCGGUUCCAUACAACACUGCUCCACUCAUGCCUCAUUUGCUGCUGUGCAGCACCAGUCCUGAAGACUUGUAUUUCACAGGCUUAGCUCAGAGCUUAGAAGCCUUGUCCUACUAUUGCUGAGCACUGGGUCACUUCCCCUCUGCCAUCCCUUCUGUAUGGCUUCCCCAGAAAGAGCCAUAUGUAGUGUAUUAUUUAUCUCAGGAUGGUAAAACUUGAUUUGACUUAACUUGUCAAUACCAUCUAUAAACAACUGUCAGUUAGCCUGGGAGAAAUACAUGUGUGUAGAUGUAAGACAGGCUGGACCCACAGGACCUGGGGUAUCGGGGCUGGUGGGAAAUUCAUCUGCCUCUGCUUGGGAGACUUCAGUAUUUGGUGAGUUGCUCUGUGGUGUUUGUUCAGAUCAUGGUAGUAUCCAGAAAUGUCGCAUGACCUUUGUAGGGCAGUGCUGGUGAUUUCAGUCAGCUUUGUACAUUUGUGAAUUUGAACCUGGCAGACUGAACAAAAAAAAAAAAUUUUUUUU